AAUCCCGGCAGGGCCUGAAUGGGUCGCAGAUAGAGUGUCCGGAGUGCCCCUUAUUAGUUGCAAUGUUUAUUGCUAAAGGGUAUUAUCGGGAAUUGGCGUUGUUAUUAAUAUUCUCUAUAUUGUUCUAUUCAAUCAAUCUUUAUUGUUUCCUUAAAUAAUGCUAUAGUGUAGUGAGUGUGGUGAAUUUGUGAUCCUCCUCUUUAGCUUGCACUAAAAGUUUCAACUUUCUUGCCACCCUUUACAAUACAAUUCAGGCUCUACAUAGAUCAGAAAUUGGCUUGGUUUCACAGGAUACCCUUUCAAUAUCCCUCAUUGCAUUGCUUGCCACACUAAACAAGUUCCUAGGAGGAAUGUCCAAAUAAGUACUAUCUCAACUGAUCUGGAUGGAGCUCCCUUUGGGUGCAUUCAUGCUCUCACACAAGCACAUGUGUUGAUGGACAUAAUCCACAUAUUAUCAGGAAAGAUUUGCCCUUCUCUUGGACUAAUGUAUAUGAGGUCACUAGUAUGUCUUCAGCUUUAGGUAAACAGAAGUUUUACCUAGUACUUUGCUGUGUUCUUCAGUUUCAACUAUAGCUUUGGGAUAUUUUUUAUUGUAAAAUUGUAAAUUAGCUUGCCAUUUGAUUCAUCUCAUCUUUUUAAUACAUGUUUGUUACUUCUAAUUGGGUUGAUCUUUCAGGACACCAAAAU